rnacentral:lncRNA from 1 species
AGAUCCAAGAUGGGCAUUAUAUUCAUUGUAUGUUUACAAAUUCUUACAUUUUAGUUAUUCUUCAGCAAAAAAUCCAGAUGGAUGUUUUUUUCAGAAAGUGUUGAAUGGGUUUACAAAGUUUUUUUGUAAGGAACAAUAUUGCAAAUUACUAAAAUUGUAUUUUUAUAGGCUGUUUGCUCUUUUGUGGAUAUUGUGCCUGUCAGGAUUCUUGAAGUUUUUUUUUUAUAGUGAGAUAAUGGAGUUGGUCUUAGCCGCUGCAGGAGCCCUUCUUUUCUGUGGAUUCAUCAUCUAUGACACACACUCACUGAUGCAUAAACUGUCACCUGAAGAGUACGUAUUAGCUGCCAUCAGCCUCUACUUGGAUAUCAUCAAUCUAUUCCUGCACCUGUUACGGUUUCUGGAAGCAGUUAAUAAAAAGUAAUUAAAAGUAUCUCAGCUCAACUGAAGAACAACAAAAAAAAUUUAAUGAGAAAAAAGGAUUAAAGUAAUUGGAAGCAGUAUAUAGAAACUGUUUCAUUAAGUAAUAAAGUUUGAAACAAUGAUUAAAUACUG